AUGCUUGUGUGUCUUUCAACAGUAUUGUCCUGCCCAUAUCAGCAUCAGUAUCAUCAGCAGCACCAUCGUCAUGAUCACCGUGACCACCAUCAAGCAAAUACAUUUAUUGAGGGCUUAUUGAAACUGCCAGCACACAUUACCUGGAAGAAACCUCCAUCCUCAAAGACUUGGAAAAGGCUGUCCUGGAGCCUGCGUGGAGGUUACAAAAAUCAUCCCUCUGGUGGUGGCCUGAGCAGAUUACUUCAACCCCAAUGUUGCCCUGAACGUUGCAUUCAAGAUUUGAGAAGAUUAGGACUGCUAAGCCUUUUCAGCAUUGUUCCCCGUCCUGCCUUUGCAGCUCCCUUCAUGAAAUGGCACUGAACCCUGGUGUCAGCAUCAUUAUUCUACAAUAAGGGAGCCCGCAUCUCUGACUGUUUCCACGCUGCUCAUGCCCAUGCUAGAAAUACCAAAACAAUGGCACACAUGGAAAUGCCUCCCAUUUAUAUUCAUUUGGUAUUUGAUUCUAGUGCUGAAUGUGAGUGGGUCUUGGAUUUUAUUUCCAAGUCAAUAGUGAACUCAAAUGUCAGUCAUUUUAGAGGGGACAUUUUAAGUAAGCAUUACCUUUCUUGUCUUUUCAACAUUAAAUCCUAACACGUUGGCAUAUGCAAGUGCAUGCUGUAAAUGAAACCAUGUGCUAGACUUUCUGAAGGACAUGGAAUAGACAAUGCAGAUCCCAGCCCUCCAAGGUCUCAUGAACUUAUGCGAUGAGGCAAGACAGCUGUCCCCCUCAAUUCGUAAAUAACUCAAAGAUUAAAAAAACUGAUGAAGAAAUUAAUUCCCUUGGUUUCCUCCUCUGGAAAACCAACACUGUAAUGGUUUCUAAGAGUUGUUGUGCCAAUGAAAUGAAUUAAAUAUUUGAUCAGGACCUAAAAUAAUGUAAUUGCUGAGUAAUUGUAUGUAUGUAUGUAUAUAUG
rnacentral:lncRNA from 1 species